rnacentral:rRNA from 1 species
CCUACGGGCGGCAGCAGUGAGGAAUAUUGGUCAAUGGGCGCGAGCCUGAACCAGCCAAGUAGCGUGAAGGAUGACUGCCCUACGGGUUGUAAACUUCUUUUAUAAAGGAAUAAAGUGAGGAACGUGAGCCUUUUUGUAUGUACUUUAUGAAUAAGGAUCGGCUAACUUCGUGCCAGCAGCCGCGGUAAUACGGAGGAUCCGAGCGUUAUCCGGAUUUAGUGGGUUGAAAGGGAGCGUAGAGGGGUUGUUAAGUCAGAUGUGAAAGUUUGCGGCUCAACCGUAAAAUUGCAAUUGAUACUGGCAGUCUUGAGUACAGUUGAGGUAGGCGGAAUUCGUGGUGUAGCGGUGAAAUGCUUAGAUAUCACGAAGAACUCCGAUGGCGAAGGCAGCUUACUAAACUGCCACUGACAUUGAUGCUCGAAAGUGUGGGUAUCAAACAGGAUUAGAUACCCUUGUAGUC